UACGGAGGGUGCAAGCGUUAUUCGGAAUCAUUGGGUGUAAAGCGCGUGUAGGCGGCCAAGUAAGUCAGAUGUGAAAGCUCUGGGCUCAACCCAGAAAGUGCAUUUGAUACUGCUUGGCUUGAGUCUCGUAGAGGAAGGUGGAAUUCCCAGUGUAGAGGUGAAAUUCGUAGAUAUUGGGAGGAACACCGGUGGCGAAGGCGACCUUCUGGGCGCAGACUGACGCUGAGACGCGAAAGCGUGGGGAGCAAACAGG
rnacentral:rRNA from 1 species